rnacentral:rRNA from 1 species
GGGGAAUAUUGCACCAAUGGCGAAAGCCUGAUGCAGCAACGCCGCGUGAGUGAUGAAGGCCUUCGGGUUGUAAAGCUCUGUCUUUUGGGACGAUAAUGACGGUACCAAAGGAGGAAGCCACGGCUAACUACGUGCCAGCAGCCGCGGUAAUACGUAGGUGGCAAGCGUUGUCCGGAUUUACUGGGCGUAAAGGAUGCGUAGGCGGAUUUUUAAGUGAGAUGUGAAAUUCCCGGGCUUAACUUGGGAGCUGCAUUUCAAACUGGAAGUCUAGAGUGCGGGAGAGGAAAGUGGAAUUCCUAGUGUAGCGGUGAAAUGCGUAGAGAUUAGGAAGAACACCAGUGGCGAAGGCGACUUUCUGGACCGUAACUGACGCUGAGGCAUGAAAGCGUGGGUAGCAAACAGGAUUAGAUACCCUGGUAGUCCACGCCGUAAACGAUGAGUACUAGGUGUAGGAGGUAUCGACCCCUUCUGUGCCGCAGUUAACACAAUAAGUACUCCGCCUGGGAGUACGAUCGCAAG